rnacentral:rRNA from 1 species
AUUGAACGCUGGCGGCAUGCUUUACACAUGCAAGUCGAACGGUAACAGGUUAAGCUGACGAGUGGCGAACGGGUGAGUAAUGCAUCGGAACGUGCCCGGUCGUGGGGGAUAACGCAGCGAAAGCUGCGCUAAUACCGCAUACGAUCUAAGGAUGAAAGCGGGGGACCGUAAGGCCUCGCGCGAUCGGAGCGGCCGAUGUCAGAUUAGGUAGUUGGUGGGGUAAAGGCUCACCAAGCCAACGAUCUGUAGCUGGUCUGAGAGGACGACCAGCCACACUGGGACUGGGACACGGCCCAGACUCCUACGGGAGGCAGCAGUGGGGAAUUUUGGACAAUGGGCGAAAGCCUGAUCCAGCAAUGCCGCGUGCAGGAAGAAGGCCUUCGGGUUGUAAACUGCUUUUGUACGGAGCGAAAAGGUCUCCUCUAAUACAGGGGGCUCAUGACGGUACCGUAAGAAUAAGUACCGGCUAACUACGUGCCAGCCGCCGCAGUAA